rnacentral:rRNA from 1 species
UACGUAGGGUGCAAGCGUUAAUCGGAAUUACUGGGCGUAAAGCGUGCGCAGGCGGCUCGGAAAGCAAGAUGUGAAAUCCCAGGGCUUAACCUUGGAAUGGCAUUUUUAACUACCGGGCUAGAGUGUGUCAGAGGGGGGUGGAAUUCCACGUGUAGCAGUGAAAUGCGUAGAGAUGUGGAGGAACACCGAUGGCGAAGGCAGCCCCCUGGGAUAACACUGACGCUCAUGCACGAAAGCGUGGGGAGCAAACAGG